rnacentral:lncRNA from 1 species
UUACAAUGGAACUUAGAGGAUUAGACAUGGAGAAGAGACGCAAGUAAUGGAGCCACCGCGUCAUGACACUUCCGGUGCCGAUCUACAUUUUAACCAACCGUGAGCCAUUGGGGGAGAGGUCAAUGUCACCGUAGAGCCAUGACAUUGCUGUCCGAGCCAUCGCAAGUCACCGCCGUCAAGAUCCGAGCAAUAACCUCACGAUCUCCACCUUGCUUGCUCAACAAGCUUCUUUUCUUCACUUGGCUUGGUCGCUCACCAAUGACGUAGCCACCUUAAUCAGCCAUGAAACUAUGCAUGAGGUUUAAGUGUCAUUCCCAUGUUCUUGUACGAUCAUAUGACCUUUGGAAUGUUUCUUGUGUUACAAGCAACAUCAAUAGCAUAAGCACUAAUCGUGUCAUGCCAUGCGCAGGAAGAAACAUGGAACUAGGUGAGAAUUAUUUGAUAAAUAAUUCAUGCUAAAGCCUAGACUGACAGACAUAUUUGUUUCCGAUCCAGCUUCAAUUUUGGCUAAGGUGAGGGUGUUUUCCCGAACUUCUCUUACACGGCUUAGGACCUCGAAUAAGUAUAAUUUAUUCUUAAUAUGUUAUGUCUGCAUGAAAUCGAGUAUGUCAUUACUUGUUUAGUCUUUAGGUUCUUUGCUUAAACUGGAUAUAGGAAUCUAGAUGGUUCAACUUUGAUUGUUUCAUUUAGAAUUGGUGAAUAAAAAUAGUUGUUUUAUUAAGAUUUAUGAGAUUGUUUGAG